rnacentral:lncRNA from 1 species
AAACACCCGCUUCCUAAGCCUGGAUGGAAUGAUAGGGUAUGCAUAAAUGUUCAUGUGGGCUCUGGAGUAUACCAGGAACUGAAGUAAGGUACAUGGACGUCUUGAAUAUUGUAACUGAGAUGGGCAAGCCUACACCUUUGCAAAUAAAGGAGGAUUGGGAAAGAUUAAGCCUCUCAAGCACUGUGAAAAAUCACUUUCUCUUGUUGUAUUCUUGGAGCCCCUGCUAAUUCAUUAUUGAAAAAUACCUGCUGCCUGCAUUUGGCCUUAUGUUGUCAUUUACUUGGUACUUCCUAAGCGUGGCUACUCCAAUGAAGCUUUAGUAUAUGUACUGAAAGAAGAUCCUCUCAUACUGCCACAGCCAAGAGAUAAGGUUGUAAAUCUUUAUUGGGAGAAGCCGUCAAGGACAGUUCUGUGAAAUGAAAGGAUCUCUGGAUCACCACAAAGUCUGGCUCAGUGACUAUGGCUUUGCAAACACUAAACAUUCCUGUCUCAAGUCCUGUAGAUGGCUUGAAAUAGUAUACAUAAGCAUGCCUUAUAAACAUCUUCAGUCUUUAUCAACUCUUUGGAGAUUCAGCCAUUCUUUUUUG